UCCUUUUCAGGAAUUAAGAACCUAUAGGAGUAUUCAGCAGGAAACGAUCCUUGUGCACUCAAACAACAGUGCAAGGCUUCAAGACCUGGAGGAAUUCUGGCACAGCUCUCAGGAUUGCUCAUGAUUACAUGGCUGUCCAUCAUGGAGACUGAGUGAUCCUUGCUUGAUGGAAACAUUAGCCAUGGGAGCCUCCCCUGCCAUCUCGCCUUUGUUCCUUAUGGCCAUGGGAUGUGGUGUGCAGGAACGGUCAUCAUCUGAUCCUUGUCUACAGAUGCCAUGUGGACACAACCUACGACAAAACUCCACCAUCUUGUUUUUGAUCCUGGUGGUAAACACCUUUCUGACAUGUUGCAUCAAAGGAGAGCCACCUUUUCUUCCCUGCCUGAGUGAGAAGCUGAAUUUCUGUCACCUUGCCAGCAUCACCCUGAAAAUACCUAAAAGAGUAAGUUUCAGGGACCACCAACUGCUCAAGGAGUUAGUUCCAGCACCAAUGUACUUGUACCAACCAGUAAGCUCUACAGCCUAAGUGAGGACCCAAAUCUG
rnacentral:lncRNA from 1 species